rnacentral:rRNA from 1 species
AGUGAGCGCUGGCGGUAGGCCUAACACAUGCAAGUCGAACGGCAGCACAGUAAGAGCUUGCUCUUACGGGUGGCGAGUGGCGGACGGGUGAGGAAUACAUCGGAAUCUACUUUUUCGUGGGGGAUAACGUAGGGAAACUUACGCUAAUACCGCAUACGACCUACGGGUGAAAGCAGGGGAUCUUCGGACCUUGCGCGAUUGAAUGAGCCGAUGUCGGAUUAGCUAGUUGGCGGGGUAAAGGCCCACCAAGGCGACGAUCCGUAGCUGGUCUGAGAGGAAGAUCAGCCACACUGGAACUGAGACACGGUCCAGACUCCUACGGGAGGCAGCAGUGGGGAAUAUUGGACAAUGGGCGCAAGCCUGAUCCAGCCAUACCGCGUGGGUGAAGAAGGCCUUCGGGUUGUAAAGCCCUUUUGUUGGGAAAGAAAAGCAGCAGGUUAAUACCCCGCUGUUCUGACGGUACCCAAAGAAUAAGCACCGGCUAACUUCGUG